CACAAUAAUUCUUCUCUCACGUCUAAAACAUCUGUUGGACCAUGAAGCUUAUCCCAUAGGUUGUCAGUACCACACAUCAGAAAGUUCAUCUAGGGUGCCAUUAACUUGUCUGUUGGAGGCAUGGUACUAUUUAGUUUAAUUAUAGCUGAUAGCAAAAAGCUCUCUUUACUGUGAGCAUUAGGCAGUGAAGGGCUCUGUAGGUUUGUUCUCAUGGGAGAUGAGUAUGUUCUUGACAGCUGGAGGCUCUGUUUUUGGCAAGCAGAUGCUACCUUGAUCUACUGUCACAAGCCGCCAUGUAAGUGAAAGGAAAACAAGCCAACAAGCUACAUCUCCACAAAUACAGUGAGGGAAAUAAGUAUUGAACACGUCAACAUUUUUUUUCAGUAAAUAUAUUUCCAAUGAGACUAUUCACAUGAAAUUUUCACCAGACAUCAGUAUUAACUCAAGAAAUCCGGAAAUAUAAAGAAUUCACAGCAUCAAGGUCCAUAAAUAAAGUUAUGUGUAAUAAAGUGGAAUGACGCAGGGAAAAAAGUAUUGAAUACACUAAGAAAAAGCAGUUCGGUAAGGCAAGGAACCAACUGAAAUCCGUAAGUAAUUAUACCUCCUAUCGGUGCAAGUUAAUAUCAGCUGGGUUAGUAAAUUGAUGGACUUUUUGUUACCAAGGUGUCACACAAGAAAUGUGUUUUACCCAUGGUGGUGUAUCUCAUGAUGGGUAAAAGCAACCUUAUUGUUGCAAAACAUAUUGAUUGAAUCAGAUACAGGUGUAUUUCAAAACUUCUGAAUCCACCAGUAAGCACCAUUGGGGCCAUUAUCCACAAGUAGAAGCAACAUCACUCCACCAUCAACCGGCCACGCACAGGAGCUCCUUGCAAGAUUUCUGACCAGGCAGUCAGAAGAAUAGUCAGAAGAGUAGACCCAGAGCCAAGGACCACUUGGAAAGUGCUCCAAAAACACUUGGAGUCCACAGGUAUCAUCGUCACAGAGAAAACAAUAGGCUGUGUUCACCCCACGAGACUCCAUUACUAAAGAAAAGUGAAGUUUGGAGGUGGAAACAUCAUGGUCUCGGGCUGUUUUUCAUUGCAUGGUACUGGUAGACUUCAUAUAAUUGAAGGAGCGAUGAAUGGAGCCCUUUACCGGGAGAUUCUUGAGAAGAAUCUGCUGCCAUCCACCAGGAUGAUGAUGUGAUGUGGAUGGAGCUUCCAGCAGGACAACGAUUCAAAACAUACAGCAAAGGAAAGUCUCAAUUGGUUUCAGAGAAAGAAAAAAAAUCAAGGUGUUAGAAUGACCCAGUCAGUCACCUGACUUGAAUAAAAUUGAGCAAGAUUUAAAGACGAUAUGUUUAGAAGAAUGGGCCAAAAUCACACCUGAAUACUGUGACACAUUAAUUUCUUCAUACGGGAAGCUUCUUGAAGCUGUCAUUACAAACAAAGGCUUCACCAUUAAGUAUUAAAUAAAUUUAAGUUAGUGUGUUAAAUACUUUUUUCCUGUGUCAUUAUUAUGCUUUUUUACACACAGCUUUAUUUAUGGACUUUAAUGUUUGGAUUUCUUUAUGUGUGAAUUUCUUGAGUUAAUACUGAUGUGUGGUGAAAAUUUAAUGUAAAUAGCCUCAUUUGAAAUAUGUUUACUGAAAUUUUUUUUGGACACAUUCAAUAAUUAUUUCCCCCACUGUAAUUUUUGGGAAUAGUGUUGUCAUUUUUACAUAUUCCGUUGACCCGUACACCUCCCCAAACUCCACAGGCAGAACGAGCAUUGUCAGAGCUGAUUGUAAAUCAUGGACCACAGCAUUUUCUUUUUUUUACACGGAACGAUAAGUUGUGUUGAGUGUAAAUGUUAUUUUUAAUUAGGUACUUAUUACUUUGAUUAAAAUGACUGCUAAUAUCAUGGGGUUUCCUCCCCCCUAAUCCAAAGACAUGUGUUGUAGGCUGAUUGACAUUUCCAAAUUGUUUGUAGGGUGUGAAUGGGUGAGUGUGUGUAUGAUUGUGCCCUGAGAUGGGUUGGCACCCCAUCUAGAGUGUCCCCUACCUUGUGCCCAGUGUUUCCUGGGAUAGACUCUAGGCUCCCCGCGGUCCUGUGUUGCAUAAGCGGUAGAGAAAAUAGAUGGAUGUUCUGGGAUCUGUGGCAUAUGAGAGCAGAUGAAUUUUAAUUCCUUUCAGGCUCUUAUUGGCUGUUUCUCAGUGCUGUGCUUGCAGCUAGUCACAGAGCAGCUCACACUACACAAUUCACUGCUUUUUCAAACAUGCCUGAAAAUACCGGAGCCUCUGUGAUUGCUUACAGACUGAGAAAAUUGCAUCGCUCAACCAUUCACACUGUGAACAGUUGCUGUAGGAGCACAUCUUGAGUAUUUGCUGGGCGAAUGUUAGUUGGUGACUGGGAAAUCUUAGCUUUGUGAACCAUUAAAGACGUAAUUAAAUUCUCGAUCAUUUUCAAGUCUUAAUACCGCAUAUAAUGAAAUGUGCCUAUGUUGUUAUUUAGUUCCAAUGGUUGUUCCUAAUGAAAUAGCUUACUUUGUUUUUGUACUUAAAUAAAUCUUGCAAUGUUGUCAUUUCUGCUAUUUAUGAUUUACAGUAUUGUUGUUGCUGUUAUUAUUUCUGUUGUUUAUACCACUGUCUUUAAAUCAUUAAAAUCCAAUAUAUGCAUAGUAUUUAAAAAACAUUUUCCUUUACAUUAAGACACAGGUCAGCUAUCAGUUGUUGUAUCCAGUCUUCCAUUUUCCCUUUCGUCUGAACUUUUUAAAUCAGUAAAAUACAAUGCAAUCUG